rnacentral:rRNA from 1 species
UACGUAGGGUGCAAGCGUUGUCCGGAAUUAUUGAGCGUAAAGGGCUCGUAGGCGGUCCGUCACGUCGGGAGUGAAAUCCUGGGGCUUAACCCCAGAACUGCUUCCGAUACGGGCAGACUAGAGGUAGGUAGGGGAGAAUGGAAUUCCUGGUGUAGCGGUGGAAUGCGCAGAUAUCAGGAGGAACACCAGUGGCGAAGGCGGUUCUCUGGGCCUUACCUGACGCUGAGGAGCGAAAGCGUGGGGAGCAAACAGG